AAGUGGACGUAUAGGGUGUGACUCCUGCCCGGUGCUGGAAGGUUAAUUGAUGGGGUUAGCGUAAGCGAAGCUCUUGAUCGAAGCCCCAGUAAACGGCGGCCGUAACAAUAACGGUCCUAAGGUAGCGAAAUUCCUUGUCGGGUAAGUUCCGACCUGCACGAAUGGAGUAACGAUAGCCCCACUGUCUCCUUCCGAGGCUCAGUGAAAUUGAAAUCGCUGUGAAGAUGCAGUGUAUCCGCGGCUAGACGGAAAGACCCCGUGAACCUUUACUAUAGCUUUGCACUGGACUUUGAAUUUGCUUGUGUAGGAUAGGUGGGAGGCAUUGAAGUCAGGACGCUAGUCUUGAUGGAGCC
rnacentral:rRNA from 1 species